rnacentral:rRNA from 1 species
CCUACGGGUGGCAGCAGUGAGGAAUAUUGGUCAAUGGACGAGAGUCUGAACCAGCCAAGUAGCGUGAAGGAUGACUGCCCUAUGGGUUGUAAACUUCUUUUAUAUGGGAAUAAAAUGUUCCACGUGUGGGAUUUUGUAUGUACCAUAUGAAUAAGGAUCGGCUAACUCCGUGCCAGCGGCUGCGGUAAUACGGAGGAUCCGAGCGUUAUCCGGAUUUAUUGGGUUUAAAGGGUGCGUAGGUGGAUUGUUAAGUCAGUUGUGAAAGUUUGCGGCUCAACCGUAAAAUUGCAGUUGAAACUGGCAGUCUUGAGUGCAGUAGAGGUAGGCGGAAUGCGUGGUGUAGCGGUGAAAUGCUUAGAUAUCACGCAGAACUCCGAUUGCGAAGGCAGCUUACUGGACUACAACUGACACUGAGGCACGAAAGUGUGGGUAUCAAACAGGAUUAGAUACCCUUGUAGUC